rnacentral:sRNA from 1 species
GCCGGGCACAGUGGCACAUGCCUGUAAUCCCAGCAGCUCGGGAGGCUGAGACAGGAGGAUCUAGAGUUCAAAGCCAGCCUCAUCAACUGUGGGGCACUAAGCAACUCAGUGAGACCCUGUCUCUA